rnacentral:lncRNA from 1 species
UUUUUUUUUCUGUUUCUGCAUGAUAUAUGGACAUCAAUCUCUACCAGAAACAUUGGUUUCAAACGUAAAAAAAAUUGGUUUCAAAUCAGGCGGUUCUAACCAGGAAUUAGCUCAUUCUUGUCACUUUUAUUAAGUCGAACUAGGGCAAUAAUACGUGGGUGCAUUUGCGUCCGAGUACAAAAGUCCAAACCAGCCCGAUCGAAAACAAAAUGCAUGCACGGCCAAGGGAAGGGAUCCGACCUACGUUCAUUAUUGGUCGGGUACGGGGAAGGUCGGACCCAGAUAGACUCACAUCAUGUCGCGCUAGUCUUUUUUUUUUGGAAACCGCCCUCAUGGCAUUUUAUUGAUUAUUAGUAAGCGGUACAACUUCUGUCGCGCUAGUCCGCCCCCACGAAACGCACCCUGCGCCAAGUGGACGAAUCGCAGAGCCAUGUGACGACGGGACCACCCAUGCUCCCACCUCCAAGGGUCCUCACCUACGUGGCUAAAGCACAGGCGAGGCUUGGCUUUUCUCCCGUGCAACGGGGGCCCGCGAGAGCUUGGAGGCUUGUGGAGCGCAUGCAUGGAGCCACGUACCACGUCUAGAAUCUCAAAAAGGAAGAGAAAAAAAUUACGACGUCUAAAAAUGUAGCCAUUGGUGUGUCCUGGCCCUCCCUGCUCCACCCCCACCUACCGAGUAGUAGUAUUUUUUUGCCAUUGGCUUUGGAUACUCUAACUAAGUUAGAGGCUAGAGUUAGAUUCUAACUCUAAACUAACCUUGAACUAACUUUAACCAAAGUGGUGUUUGGAUAGCAAAGUUAGAUUGACAAUAAAUGCUCCUUCUCAAUCAUUUGGCUACUUUAGACCCUAUUUUCUGCCGGAUUUGAUGUGGCCGGCUCUUGUGUGGCCUCCUCCCGCUCACAAUUGACAUAAACGAAUCAUGCUUACAAAUCAAGCAUGCAAAACUUGAUAAAAAAAAUUGUCCAUACAAAUGAGAUGUCCCACUUAAACAUAACUUAAACAUACAAGUUGUCAAUCGAAGCUUCAAAAAAUAUUACACUCCAUAAAAUAAAGCAUGAGCUAACUCAUCACGGAAGGCAUUCAUGUUGAUAUCUUCAACAAGAGGUUCGUCUUCUGGCCAUGCGGAUGCAGAAGAACUAGGCAUUGGGUUAUAAUUUUCAUCUGCAUCACAAGCAUCAAAUUCCCUAUCCGCAAUUCUGCUCUCUCGAAUGAAAUUAUGAAGAGCCAUAUAGGCAACAAUAAUUCUACUUUGCUUGUCCUCUGGAAAUUUUGGCAUGUUCAAUAAAAUCCUAAAUUUCAUCUUCAACACUCCAAAUGAUCGCUCAACGACAUUCCUAACUUUGGCAUGUGCAUGGUUGAAGGUUUCUUUCAUACCUUGUGGCGGCGGGCCAUUUUGCCAUUGUUGCACAUGGUACCUUGUACAUCUGUAUGGUGAAAGGUAGCCUGGCCGGUUUGGGUAUCCCGCAUCAACCACAUAAUACUUCCCUACAUAUUAUGAAAGGCAUAGAAUGAGACUUAGAUGAACUAGUGUAGUUAGAUAAAAAAUAUUGCAAGACAGUUCAAGUCGCAAACUUGGUGGUGGAUGUGGAAAUUUGUCUUGAUGAGUAGUUACGGCAUCUUUGAAAACUCUCAUGUCAUGUGCUGAACCAGGCCAUCCCGACAUCACAAAUGUAAAUCUCAUGUCGAAAUCACAAACAGCAAGCACAUUCUGACUGGUUUCAUUGUGCCUGUUCAAGUAUGGAACCCUCUUACUCUUAUCCACCACAACAUUCACAUGUGUCCCAUCUAUAGCUCCUAUGCAGUCAUAGAAGUGUGGCCAGAAUACUGGAUUUUCUAAGUUUGGGUGCACCUCUGAAAAUGUUGGAUCCUUAGGUGCAAUUAUGUCAUGUGCUAACCUGAGGAGGCAUGCCAAAACUCUAUUAAAUGUCCUACUUACUGUCUCCAUAGACCUUCUGAAACGGUUCUCAGCCUGUCUAACUGACUGUGGUGAUCCAACAAUCCAUAAAAACAUAGCUAGAGCCUCUACAGAUGUCAUUUUUGUAGUGGACUUCAAGCCAUAUGAUUGCACCAAAGUAUUAUGUAGCCUAUUAAACAAAGGUCUCUCAACCCUAAACAUGUUAUAGCAUUGGGUAUCUCGGGCUAGUGUCUCCUGCACCCAAUCCAAACCAGAAUAUCCACUGACCCUCCUAGGUAGUUUCACAAAGUAGUUAUCAGAGUACAUACCCAAGAUAGGAACCAACUUCAAGAUUAAAUUCUCGGACUGCACCAAAUUGUUGCGGCACAUGGAUAUGAUCUCAUCCUCACUUGUGCUACCUCCAUCAUAUUCUUCUUCCUCAGUCAUGGGGACAUGAUCUUCUUCCUGCUUCAACACAUGUACCAAAUCGUCAACACAUAGCAUAAAACUUGAAGGAAUGUAAGCAAAUGAAAUUAAUUCGGCCCGCAGAUAAAACAAAAUAGGUUCAACACAAAUAAUAGUUCAACGCCUCACAAACACAUGACAGGUUCAACAUACAACAAUUUAAAUAGGUUCAACAUCUUAACACACACUUCCCAACUACUCCAAAUUGUUGUCUCUGCACCAUUUCUUGAAGUAACCCAACCUAAGCUCAGGAGUUAAUUGGCCACAAAAGAACUCCCUUUGGUACUCCGUUUCGAACAUCUUGGACAUAGCAUAGACAGAGUCAACCAUUUGCUGAACACCGCACUCAAAUGCCAGCUCCUGACACCUCUUCACAGAAAAUGCAACCUUCUCAUUUGCACGUUUCUGCAUUUGCUUAGUGUUGGCUGCCGAACGUUGCCGCCACUGAACGCCGUGCCAGUGCGCUGGUUACGGCGGCUGGGUGCCGCGGCGGCCGAGUUGGCGCGCUGCCGAACACCGCCGCCUGCCCCCGACGACGACCCGCCAAGGAACACGCCACCGUUUCGUCCUCCGCGACCGGCUGCCGCCGCCGAGGAGCCGCCGAAGUUCAGUCGCCGGGCGUAGGGUGGGCGAUAGGGAGGGAGCCCGGAGCCCCUGACGCGCCCAGGGAGGAGCUCGUCAUCAUCGCUCUGGAGGAAGGCUCCGUAGAGCCCAAGCCCCGGGAACCCCUCCAACACCGGUGCUUGCGAGUUGAGGUCGAGACCGGCAUGGGUAGCAGGGCCGCUUGCCGAUGGCUGCGAACCCCAAACGUCGAAGCCGUCUCCAUCCAUCGCGGGUGCUCUACUCCAAGCUAUACUACCUGCACCAGAAGAGAAGAAUCAGUAGCACAUCCAGGAAAGCACAAUGGAAACACGCAGAAAGAAGAGAGUAAGGAGACCGGAGUAAUAUUCGGGAACACAUGAAAAGAUGGAUAAAAUAUAUAGGUUAAGAUAACCAACUUCUACGACAAACAACUAUACAUAGGAUUGUGAUACACAGGAC